rnacentral:rRNA from 1 species
AAUACGUAGGUGGCAAGGCGUUGUCCGGAUUUAUUGGGCGUAAAGCGAGCGCAGGCGGUUACCUUAAGUCUGAUGUGAAAGCCCACGGCUCAACCGUGGAAGGUCAUUGGAAACUGGGGAACUUGAGUGCAGAAGAGGAGAGUGGAAUUCCAUGUGUAGCGGUGAAAUGCGUAGAUAUAUGGAGGAACACCAGUGGCGAAGGCGACUCUCUGGGUCUGUAACUGACGCUGAGGCUCGAAAGCGUGGGGAGCAAACAGGAUUGGAUACCCUGGUAGUCCACGCCGUAAACGAUGAGUGCUAAGUGUUGGAGGGUUUCCACCCUUCAGUGCUGCAGCUAACGCAUUAAGCACUCCGCCUGGGGAGUACGGCCGCAAGGCUGAAACUCAAAGGAAUUGACGGG